GCAGGUGUGACGGCACAGGAGGCGUGGUUUGUGGGACACUGUGUGGCACCGAUGAGGACAGAGGACAGGAGUGUGUAGCGAGAGACCUCGAGGGAACAAGUCGUACUCUGGUUACCAGUCAGAGAGUGAACGAGAGACAGAGAGACAGUGAAGUGCCUGACGAACUAACAAAGUGUUACGCAUACUUUGUUGCCCCCCCCCACACACACAGAUCCGCACAUGGACAAGAACACUGUAUUUGUUCAUUUUUGUCAAAACCUGAAACAAUAAUGAUCCGUCACAGUUUCCCAUUCACGUAUACAUAUUUACGCUCGAUUUACUAGCAACAUUUCAAGUUUUCUAACGUCCAACUCUGCAACUCUACAUACAGAGCUGAUGCACAUUGCUAUAAAGUGAGGACUUGAUUGCAACUCAGGCUCUACCCUUGGGAAAACUGGCAAUUUUAUCCCACAUCUGGACUUAGCAAGUCCAGGCUGCACUAGAAGAAGAAAAUGAAGAAAGCGUCUGGCUCUAGCAGCUUCGUCUGACUCCGCCCAACCGUCCAUUGACACCAUUGAGCCAGCUCUGUCGUGUUUUAUGCCUUUCUCACCGUCUCAGCUGUCAAGCAGCCCCCUGGCUCGCCUCAUAGGUUUUUAGUGAUGGGAUUUGGAGUGGAGCAUGGAAGCAAGGAUUGACGACGGGGAGGCAGGCUGGAUGAUCUCCGCAGCCAGCCUGAUAGUAUCUGCACCCCUCCACUCUCCCUUACUUCCACCAAGGGAGGCAGUGCACCACAUCUCACGCAGGAUGUGCUGCACCAGUGGCAUGGUGUUGAGGGAAGUGCCUCUUUGUAUUCCUGUCCAGCACUUUAUUAAAUACAUGAAGGCUUUUGGAGGUCCAGCGGCACACUGCACAAUGCUUUUUUAAACAUGUGUGCUAAGUACAAGAUUGAGAGUGGCAAGGAUGGACGAUGCUUCAACAUUCACAGCAUCAUUGGUUCAGGCUUUCUUUUUAUAUGGAAAGUAGUGCACACAGUUUUAACCGAAGGAUUAUAUGUCAUCAUUUAUAUUUAUAGAUUUCAUGACCUAACAUUGUGUUGAUCUUAGUGCAUCAAAUCACUUCAUUACAUGUAAGCAUAUAUUUAGCUACAAGGAGUAACAGUUUAUGAGAUUUGUAAUGUAUAAAAAGUGACUUGUAAGAGAUUUUGCAUUGUGAAGGUUUGUUUGAAGGUCUGUUUAUUGGCAUGAUCUAGUAGUAUCAGUCUUCACAGUCCAGAUUGUACAGAGAUGAACCAUUGUCCAUUGCAUUUCCUGCAGAUGGAGUUUCAGUCAACACUGCAAGGGGUGUGUGUGUGUGCAGCUUUUCGGGCAAGUGUGCUGGUCACAAAAUGGUGCAUUUUAGACAGAAGUCCCUCUAUGACAGGUUCUAACCUUGUGACUCGUCAUAAGUGCUCAGUCUGUUGUAGCAAAACUCUUGUCAACAUGGUGGGAACUUGGCUGUAUGUACCAUAGCAUGAUCCCCGACAACUUUUAAUAUUGACUAAUGAUAAAUAUCUGUAAUGAUGACUAAAUAAUGUCCUUCUUUGAUGCAGUAAUUUACCAUUAUAGAUAACUGUUGAGAGGGGUGUGAUCAGUCCUCCCAAACUCAAACAAACAAUGCCCUGCGUGGCCUGUUUGUGUAAUGUGUCAGGCUGUUGGGCAUAAUCUUUUUGUUUGCCAUGUUUCUUUUGUUUGGAUACACAGUCUUCUAACUACUCCCAAAGUUGUAGUAUGUCAAAAUAAUUUAAUUUGUAGAAAAUUAUGUCAAGGACCUAUUUUGACUAGUCAUGAGCCUAAAGACCAAUGGUGGAAUGAUGAUUAGGCAUUCAGUGAGACCUGAGGCUGACUGUAGAAUGGAGCCCCAGAAUGAUGGUCUGUGUUUUGUAUAUUUAUGGUGACAAUAUAGUGUUGCAAGGGACAACAGGCUGUCUUAGAGCAAUGCUAUUGUGAAAUGCUUAAAUUUUUUUAAGAGUUGAUAGCACCUCCUAGACUUUUGCAAUGAAAAUGGUCUCAAAAUACGUUUAGAACUUGUAGUUUCUAAUAAGAUGUGCAAUGAAACUUAAGAAGUUUCUAACAAGAUGUGCAAUGAAACUUAAGAACUCUUAUGUUAAAAAAAUUAUAUUAGACAAAUGUAUGUGGAUGGUGAUGAAAGGUGGAAUGGGGUAGACUUGUCCAUACAGGGAUUGCUGCCAUGUAUGUGCAGGCUUCAUAGUAAUGAUUGAUCUUGGAACUUAUCAAAGUUGUGAAAAUGUUGA
rnacentral:lncRNA from 1 species